GACGGGGGAGGCAAGCGUUAUCCGGAAUCACUGGGAGUAAAGGGUAUGUAGGUGGUGGUUCAAGUCAGUGGUGCAAAACUCUGGCUCAACCGGAGGAAAGCCAGUGAAACUGCACGACUAGAGUGUGGUAGAGGUAGCAGGAAUUCCCUGAGUAGCGGUGAAAUGCGUAGAUACCGGGAAGAACACCGGAGGCGAAAGCGUUCUACUGGGACACAACUGACACUGAGAUACGAAAGCUCGGGGAGCGAAUGGG
rnacentral:rRNA from 1 species